rnacentral:tRNA from 1 species
GGAGUGGUGCCUGAGAGGCCGAAAGGAACAGUUUGCUAAACUGUCGUACGCUUUACCGUGUACCGGGGGUUCGAAUCCCCCCCACUCCG